rnacentral:rRNA from 1 species
UACGUAGGGUGCGAGCGUUAAUCGGAAUUACUGGGCGUAAAGCGUGCGCAGGCGGUUCGUUGUGUCGGUGGUGAAAUCCCCGGGCUUAACCUGGGAAUGGCCAUGGAAACUGGCGAACUGGAGUGCGGCAGAGGGGGUGGAAUUCCGCGUGUAGCAGUGAAAUGCGUAGAGAUGCGGAGGAACACCGAUGGCGAAGGCAGCCCCCUGGGCUAGCACUGACGCUCAGGCACGAAAGCGUGGGGAGCAAACGGG